CACGUAGGGCGCAAGCGUUUGUCCGGAAUUAUUGGGCGUAAAGAGCUCGUAGGCGGUCUGUUGCGUCCGCUGUGAAAACUCGGGGCUUAACCCCGAGCCUGCAGUGGAUACGGGCAGACUAGAGGUAGGUAGGGGAGAAUGGAAUUCCCGGUGUAGCGGUGAAAUGCGCAGAUAUCAGGAGGAACACCGGUGGCGAAGGCGGGUCUCUGGGCCGAUACUGACGCUGAGGAGCGAAAGCGUGGGGAGCGAACAGG
rnacentral:rRNA from 1 species